rnacentral:rRNA from 1 species
GACGAACCGUCCAAACGUUAUUCGGAAUCACUGGGCUUAAAGGGUGCGUAGGCUGCGCUGUAAGUCGGGUGUGAAAUCCCUCAGCUUAACUGAGGAACUGCGCCCGAUACUGCAGUGCUGGAGGGAGACAGGGGUAAGCGGAACUGAUGGUGGAGCGGUGAAAUGUGUUGAUAUCAUCAGGAACACCGGUGGCGAAAGCGGCUUACUGGGUCUCUUCUGACGCUGAGGCACGAAAGCUAGGGGAGCGAACGGG